AUUGAACGCUGGCGGCAGGCCUAACACAUGCAAGUCGAACGAGUGGCGGACGGGUGAGUAAUGUCUGGGAAACUGCCCGAUAGAGGGGGAUAACUACUGGAAACGGUAGCUAAUACCGCAUACUAUCGGAUGUGCCCAGAUGGGAUUCGCUAGUAGGUGGGGUAAAGGCUCACCUAGGCGACGAUCCCUAGCUGGUCUGAGAGGAUGACCAGCCAAACUGGAACUGAGACACGGGCCAGACUCCUACGGGAGGCAGCAGUGGGGAAUAGUGCACAAUGGGCGCAAGCCUGAUGCAGCCAUGCCGCGUGUAUGAAGAAGGCCUUCGGGUUGUAAAGUACUUUCAGCGGGGAGGCGUUACCCGCAGAAGAAGCACCGGCUAACUCCGUGCCAGCAGCCGCGGUAAUAC
rnacentral:rRNA from 1 species